rnacentral:rRNA from 1 species
AUUGAACGCUGGCGGCAGGCCUAACACAUGCAAGUCGAGCGGAGCGGCGGACGGGUGAGUAAUGCCUAGGAAUCUGCCUGGUAGUGGGGGAGAACGUCCGGAAACGGGCGCUAAUACCGCAUACUAUCAGAUGAGCCUAGGUCGGAUUAGCUAGGUGGUGGGGUAAAGGCCUACCAAGGCGCAGAUCCGUAACUGGUCAGAGAGGAUGAUCAGUCACACUGGAACUGAGACCCGGUCCAUACUCCUACGCGAGGCAGCAGUGGGGAAUAUUGGACUAUGGGCGAAUGCCUUAUCCAGCCAUGCCCCUGGUGUGAAGAUGGUCUUCUGAUUAUCGAGCUCUUUAAGUUGCAAGGCGUUACCAACAGACUAAGCACCGGCUACCUUCGUGCCAGCAGCCGCGGUAAUAC